GGGACUGUAGUUCAAUUGGUUAGAGCACUGCCCUGUCACGGCAGAAGUUGCGGGUUCGAGCCCCGUCAGUCCCG
rnacentral:tRNA from 11 species